UGUAACCACAUAUAUAAAACCAUAGAAAAUUUGAAUAUACGAACCAUUGUAAUCAAACAGUUUUUUGAGUUUUCUAUUUUAAUCUCAUAUUUCAUAUGAUAUUUCCCUUAUUCUCUUCAAACUGAAAAGAAACCAGAGUGUAUUUCGCAUCCAUCCGACAUCGAACACGAGUGAUGCAAUAAGGUCGUGUUUAACAAACAAAAAAGUGAUAAAGAGAAAAAGGAAAAAUUUCUGAUUGUUUUUAUUGAAAACGUUUAAUUCGAAAGUAAAGUAAAUAUGCCUGAUGAUAAAGAACCCAAAAAGUUAAAGGCAUGUUGUGCUUGUCCAGAAACAAGAAAAGCUAGAGAUGCUUGCUUAAUUGAGAAUGGAGAAGAAAAGUGCCAAAGCCUAGUUGAAGCUCAUAAAGAAUGUAUGAAAAAAUUAGGUUUUAAUGUAUAGUAUUAUCUGUCCUAUUUGUAGUCAAUGUAAAUUCAUCCUGUAUAAAAACCAAUAAAUUAUUUAAAAUCUU